AAUGAACGCUGGCGGCAUGCCUAACACAUGCAAGUCGAACGAAGGCUUCGGCCUUAGUGGCGCACGGGUGCGUAACGCGUGGGAAUCUGCCCCUUGGUUCGGAAUAACAGUUAGAAAUGACUGCUAAUACCGGAUGAUGACGUAAGUCCAAAGAUUUAUCGCCGAGGGAUGAGCCCGCGUAGGAUUAGCUAGUUGGUGUGGUAAGAGCGCACCAAGGCGACGAUCCUUAGCUGGUCUGAGAGGAUGAUCAGCCACACUGGGACUGAGACACGGCUCAGACUCCUACGGGAAGCAGCAGUGGGGAAUAUUGGACAAUGGGCGAAAGCCUGAUCCAGCAAUGCCGCGUGAGUGAUGAAGGCCUUAGGGUUGUAAAGCUCUUUUACCCGGGAUGAUAAUGACAGUACCGGGAGAAUAAGCUCCGGCUAACUCCGUG
rnacentral:rRNA from 1 species